GGCAAGGUGGAUAUUGCUAUACGGCAGAGAAAAAUCGCGGGAGAGGAGUGGCGGAGAAAAACCAAAACAAACUCAGGGCGCCAAGAAAACGGACCGGAAAACAGAGCAGGAGAACCCCACAGGAUCCACACCGCCUUCUCCUCCUCCCUCUCUCGCCGCCGGAGCCAGAUCAAAAUACACGCUGCCGCCUCAUCCGAUGGCUCCUCUCCUCUCCCCGCCGCUGCUCGCGGACUCCGUCACCAAGUUCCAUGCGGCCUCAACGGCAGUCCCCUGCUCCGGCAGCCCACAGCGAUAUGCCAUCACGGGAUUGGCCGGGGCCGGAAGACGAGACCGGCGCCGGUGUCGUAGGACGCGGGGAAGGACGGGCUUGAGGGUGGAAGCGGUGGCGGCGGAGUCCCGCAGCUCGGAGGGGGGCGUCGCUGAGGAUUAUUACGCUGUUCUUGGUGUGGUGGGUAUUUCAUCUUGAAAGCUUUCUAUUUUGCAGUUUGUAUUAAUUAGCAAGUAGGAGUGCCUAUUUGAUUCUUGCAGUUUGUCUAGUUUGUAGACGUGGAAAAACAAGCAGUCCUUUUCUUCUUACUCUGAAACUAGAUUGCUCCUAUCAUCAAUUCAUCAUGGCAGCAAUUUCAAAUGGUUAGGCAAAAGAAGCACACUGUGUACUGGAGGUAGUUUGUUGCAUCCAUGAAAAUACUGUAGAACAUUUAGAAGUUACAGUUCUUGCGUGUUUUCAGAUGCCAGAUGCCACACCGAAGCAAAUCAAGAAAGCUUACUAUAAUUGUAUGAAGUCAUGCCAUCCUGAUCUCAGUGGGAAUGACCCUGAUGUCACGAAUUUCUGCAUGUUUAUCAACGAGGUCUACACGGUAAAAUCCUAAAAGAAAUCCUACCAUUUUAUAUGGAGCUUCAUUACAAUUUUGUCAGUAAAGUUAAUAUGUGCAUAUGAAAGCAGGUGCUUACCGAUCCCAUCCAACGAGCAGUAUAUGAUGAGAUCCACGGAUACGCUGCGACUGCAACCAACCCUUUCUUGGAUGACAAUGCACCCAGGGAUCAUGUUUUUGUCGAUGAGUUUAGCUGCAUAGGUAUUGAUGACUUUGCCCUGAACAUAAAUUUUAUUUGGAAUCAAUUUAAUUAUGUUCUGCCCACAUCUCUGCAGGAUGCAAAAACUGUGCUAAUGUGUGCUCUAAGGUCUUUCAAAUUGAGGAAGAUUUUGGAAGGGCAAGAGUUUACGACCAAUCAGGCGACAUAAAACUGAUUGAAGAAGCUAUUGAGAGCUGGUACUAAUGCCAGAGUCCUUUUUACUUUGCUUUUUGUUUGUUAAUCUAUCAAUUAUCCAAGAAACCUUACUGAAAAUUUGGUGCAAAGUGGGGCAAAUGAUUUUCCCGUUAUGCAAAUAUUAUGACUCCUGUUAUUGUUUUGAUGAACUUUCAUUUAUGUUCAGUCCAGUUGACUGCAUUCAUUGGACUUCAGCUGCACAACUUUCACUACUUGAGGAUGAAAUGCGCAGAGUAGAGAGAGUAAACGUAAGAAUUUCUUUCUAAUAAUUUUGAUGGCCUGAUCAUGUUUGCAAGAUUAAUAUUUUGAAUGUAGCUAAGUUAACAAUAGAACCAAGUAACCAAAACCUUCUAUGUUGAAACAAACUACGGAUGUUAUCCUACCUUGUCUGUACUGUACUAAUAUAUGAUUUUUUUUCCAUUUUAUCAGGUUGGAUUGAUGCUUGCUGGAAUGGGAGGUUCAAUUGAUGUGUUCCGUAUGGUAAUCUCUACUUCACAUUUUUUUUGGUUUACAAAUGGAUCACCUAUCACCAUUCACCGAUACUAAACAUGGUCAUUGUUUUUGUUGCAAAUGCAAUGACCUCAUGAAGAUGAUAUUUAUAGUAAACUUAAUUUCAAAGCUAGAAAUCAAGGCACAACUUUCUUACAUCUUGUUAACCUGUUUUAUUUAUCUUUCUUCCUUUUCACUUUGUCAGGCAAGUUCACGCUGGGAGAAGAGACAAGCCAAAGUGCUGGUAUAAUUCUCUGUUUGAUAUACAACUUUCAUUGAUACACAUGAAAAUGCUAUUAACAAAAUUUUCAGGAUCAGAAAUUUCUGAUUAUUCACAUAUUGACUGCUUGCACAUUCUUCUGAACUUGUAUGCCUCUUGCAGGAAAAGGUGAGAAGGCGGGUGAGCCAGGAUGAUUCCAGUAAGGGCGGCUCAUGGAGUGAUAUCUGGGGAGCACCAACAAGAUACCAGAAAAACGGUAAACUAACACAUAGUUUUUGGAAAUUGCCCUUGUUUUUUGUGUUUUCUAUCCUUCACCUAUAUGUGUCUUCUUAACGCUCCCACUAACACAUUAACAGAAGAGGAGGCAAAGGAGAGAGCAAAGCGAGCAGCGGCUGCAGCGAGGAGGUGGCGCGAGU
rnacentral:lncRNA from 1 species